rnacentral:rRNA from 1 species
GACGAACGCUGGCGGCGUGCUUAACACAUGCAAGUCGAGCGGUAAGGCCCUUUCGGGGGUACACGAGCGGCGAACGGGUGAGUAACACGUGGGUGACCUGCCCUCAGCUCUGGGAUAAGCCUGGGAAACCGGGUCUAAUACUGGAUAUGACUCCAUGACGCAUGUUGUGGGGUGGAAAGCCUUGUGCGGCUGAGGAUGGGCCCGCGGCCUAUCAGCUUGUUGGUGGGGUGANGGCCUACCAAGGCGACGACGGGUAGCCGGCCUGAGAGGGCGACCGGCCACACUGGGACUGAGACACGGCCCAGACUCCUACGGGAGGCAGCAGUGGGGAAUCUUGCGCAAUGGGCGAAAGCCUGACGCAGCGACGCCGCGUGAGGGAUGGCGGCCUGGUUGUAA